AUGGCGAUGCGAGGAUUAUUCUGCCGACAAGACGACUCUGAGACAAGGGGGAACGGAUUCGAGGACCAAAGGGCCAAUUUUAUGUGAUAACAAACAAGAACUAUGAAUAUUGCAAAAACACGAUGGAAGCCAUCAAGAAGAUAUGAUGUGACAACAAAUUAAUAGGACCAGAAAGAGAUCAAAACAAAAUUUGAAAGACAAAAGGUUUGAAGAGACACCACAGGGAAAGGAAAAAGUAGACCAAAAGCAUCAGGAACAAACAGUCCAGUAGAGAGGCUAUAAGAAAGACGAUGACAACAAAACGAAAUGGAAGUAAACAAAAAACGUGUUGGGGAGACAAAACAAUUGUAGUAAGAAAGAAUUGUGAAGACAUCAAAUCAAAGAUAAAAUCAGAAAUUCAAUUA